UACGUAGGAUGCAAGCGUUGUCCGGAAUUAUUGGGCGUAAAGAGCGAGCAGGCGGUUCGACAAGUCAGAUGUCAAAUAUCCCGGCUUAACCGGGAGGGGCCAUUUGAAACUGUCGGACUAGAGUGGAGCAGAGGAUAGUGGAAUUCCCGGUGUAGUGGUGAAAUGCGUAGAUAUCGGGAGGAACACCAGUGGCGAAGGCGGCUACCUGGACCAGCACUGACACUGAGGCACGAAAGCGUGGGGAGCAAACAGG
rnacentral:rRNA from 1 species